GGAGGGGGCAGAUAAGAGAAUAAAAGCAAGCUGCCUGGAGGCAUCAGUGGCAAUCCGGCAGGGUUCCCUUCCGCAGGGUGGAAGCUUUGUUUUUUCGCUCUUUGGGUCCACACGGCCUUUAUGAGCUGUAACACUUACCGCAAAGGUCUGCGGCUUCACUCCUGAAGCCAGUGAGACCACGAGCCCACCGGGAGGCAGGAACAACUCCAGACGCGCUGCCUUAAGACCUGUAACACUCACGGUGAGGGUCUGCAGCAUCACUCCUGAGCCAGCGAGACCACGAACCCACCAGAAGGAAGAAACUCCGAACACAUCCAAACAUCAGAAGGAACAAACUCCAGACGUGCCACCUUAAGAGCUGUAACACUCACCGUGAGGGUCCGCGGCUUCAUUCUUGAAGUCAGUGAGACCAAGAACCCAUCAAUUCCGGACACACUAGGAAGAAGGAUUCUCUGCACUUGAAAGACCAGAUGUUCAUUGUAUUUGAUGAGCUACAGAACCACUGCCUGUAUUGAAAACAACGACUAAGAAUGAAGUGACAUUGACGUGUGGCAAAAGCAGUCCCACUUUACAGUAAAUUGAUGUUCAGCUGUUUUAACCCCCAGAAUAAGGUCUCAUUAGUUUGCCCAGACUGGUCUGCAACUCCUGCCUCAGGUGAUCCUCCCACCUCAGCCUCCCACAGUGCUGGGAUUAAAGAAGUGAGCCACUGCGCUCAAUCUACUUAUGUUAUUCAACUGGCUUGGACUUCCAGUAUGAUGUGUAAUGAAUUGUGAAAGUGGACUUACAUUCUCUUUGGAGAAAUAUGCUUAAUAUUUUCACUAUUAAAUAUGUUGUUAGAUGAAGAUUUUUCAUAAAUGUUCUUUAUAAAUUAGAAGCCCCAUUCUAUUUAUAAUUCAUUGAGUUUUUUCUUAAACAAGUUUAUAGAUUGUCAAUUGUUCUUUUUGCAUUGAUUGAAAUAGUCUUAUGACUAAAGAGACCACUUUUUAAAAUUUUUGAUGUCAUUGUGUGAGUUAGAAUAAUGGAUUUUUAAAUAUUAAACCAACUGUGUAAUACUGGCAUAAAUCUAAUUUUUCACUGGUAUUUUCCUUUUUAUAUUUUGGUGAAUUUGAUUUUCUAAAAUUUUGUUUUGUUUUAUUUAUAAAACAUUUGACUUUGUAAUUUCAUUUUAAAAUUCUUGUGAGAUUUUUGGAUCAGGGUCUUCCUGGCCUCACAAAAGCAAUUGGAUAUUUUUUUCUGUGUUGUUUUCUAAAAGAGUUUUGUUUGUUUAAUAUCAGUAUUUCUUUUUUAAACAUUUGAUAGACUUCAUCAGUGAAGCCAUCUAGGCCAAGAGAUUUUUGUGGAAGGGUUUUCCUUUAGGAUUUUAUUUUUUUAGUAGAUAUGGGGUAUUCAGGUUGUCUUUAUUCUUGGGUCAGUUUUUGCAAUUUGUGUUACCUAAAGAACUUGUCCAUUUCAUCUAUUGCGUCUAAUGGCAUAAAAUUAUUCAUAAUAUUCACUUACCUUUUUAGUGUCUGUAAGAUCUUUGUACUAUUUUAUUUCAUUCCUAUUAUUGUUAAUUGAUAAUUCACCUAUUUUUCAUUUUCAGUCUUGC
rnacentral:lncRNA from 1 species